rnacentral:ncRNA from 1 species
UAACUGGGCGAUUAGUUGCAAGGUAUAGACCCGAAACCCGGUGAUCUAGCCAUGGGCAGGUUGAAGGUUGGGUAACACUAACUGGAGGACCGAACCGACUACCGUUGAAAAGUUAGCGGAUGACCUGUGGAUCGGAGUGAAAGGCUAAUCAAGCUCGGAGAUAGCUGGUUCUCCUCGAAAGCUAUUUAGGUAGCGCCUCAUGUAUCACUGUAGGGGGUAGAGCACUGUUUCGGCUAGGGGGCCAUCCCGGCUUACCAAACCGAUGCAAACUCCGAAUACCGAAGAAUGUUAUCACGGGAGACACACGGCGGGUGCUAACGUCCGUCGUGAAGAGGGAAACAACCCAGACCGCCAGCUAAGGUCCCAAAGUCAUGGUUAAGUGGGAAACGAUGUGGGAAGGCAUAGACAGCCAGGAUGUUGGCUUAGAAGCAGCCAUCAUUUAAAGAAAGCGUAAUAGCUCACUGGUCGAGUCGGCCUGCGCGGAAGAUGUAACGGGGCUCAAACCAUACACCGAAGCUACGGGUAUCACGUAAGUGAUGCGGUAGAGGAGCGUUCUGUAAGCCUGUGAAGGUGAGUUGAGAAGCUUGCUGGAGGUAUCAGAAGUGCGAAUGCUGACAUGAGUAACGACAAUGGGUGUGAAAAACACCCACGCCGAAAGACCAAGGUUUCCUGCGCAACGUUAAUCGACGCAGGGUUAGUCGGUCCCUAAGGCGAGGCUGAAAAGCGUAGUCGAUGGGAAACAGGUUAAUAUUCCUGUACUUGGUGUUACUGCGAAGGGGGGACGGAGAAGGCUAGGCUAGCCGGGCGACGGUUGUCCCGGUUUAAGCGUGUAGGGGGUGUGACCUGGUAAAUCCGGUUGCAUGUUAACCCUGAGGCGUGAUGACGAUGCACUACGGUGCAGAAGUAGUUGAUGCCCUGCUUCCAGGAAAAUCCUCUAAGCUCCAGGUAACAUUAAAUCGUACCCCAAACCGACACAGGUGGUCAGGUAGAGAAUACCAAGGCGCUUGAGAGAACUCGGGUGAAGGAACUAGGCAAAAUGGUGCCGUAACUUCGGGAGAAGGCACGCUGGCAUGUAGGUGAAGUCCCUCGCGGAUGGAGCUGAAGCCAGUCGAAGAUACCAGCUGGCUGCAACUGUUUAAUAAAAACACAGCACUGUGCAAACACGAAAGUGGACGUAUACGGUGUGACGCCUGCCCGGUGCUGGAAGGUUAAUUGAUGGGGUCAGCCGCAAGGCGAAGCUCUUGAUCGAAGCCC